rnacentral:rRNA from 1 species
UACAGAGGUCUCAAGCGUUGUUCGGAUUCAUUGGGCGUAAAGGGUGCGUAGGUGGCGCUGUAAGUCAGGUGUGAAAUUUCGGAGCUUAACUCUGAAACUGCAUUUGAUACUGCGGUGCUCGAGGACUGGAGAGGAGACUGGAAUUUACGGUGUAGCAGUGAAAUGCGUAGAGAUCGUAAGGAAGACCAGUGGCGAAGGCGGGUCUCUGGACAGUUCCUGACACUGAGGCACGAAGGCCAGGGGAGCAAACGGG